GAAACAUCUUAUGGAAUCAACUUAUUCGUCAAAAGAUAUUUUUUUAUAGUGAAAGUUGUGCAUAUAAUUUUUUGACCUGAGACUACCAUAGAACUUUGUAUACAUGAAUCUGUAUUUUGGUUCAUACUCAUUUAUGACUUUGGCAUGCAUGGGGUGAUAUGGAUAUGGUGGAAUGUGUAUGAAGGUUGUAAGUAGGUCAACA
rnacentral:lncRNA from 1 species